rnacentral:rRNA from 1 species
UACAGAGGGUGCGAGCGUUGUUCGGAUUUAUUGGGCGUAAAGGGCGCGUAGGCGGUGCGGUAAGUCCCGUGUGAAAUCUCCUGGCUCAACUGGGAGCUUGCAGGCGAAACUGCCGUGCUGGAGUGUGGGAGAGGUGCGUGGAAUUCCUGGUGUAGCGGUGAAAUGCGUAGAUAUCAGGAGGAACACCUGUGGCGAAAGCGGCGCACUGGACCACAACUGACGCUGAGGCGCGAAAGCUAGGGGAGCAAACAGG